rnacentral:rRNA from 1 species
CCUACGGGAGGCAGCAGUGGGGAAUAUUGCACAAUGGGGGCAACCCUGAUGCAGCGACGCCGCGUGUGCGAUGAAGUAUUUCGGUAUGUAAAGCUCUAUCAGCAGGGACGAAAAUGACGGUACCUGACUAAGAAGCCCCGGCUAACUACGUGCCAGCAGCCGCGGUAAUACGUAGGGGGCACGCGUUAUCCGGAUUUACUGGUUGUAAGGGGAGCGUAGACGGCUGUGCAAGCCAGAUGUGAAAGCCCCGGGCUCAACCCCGGGACUGCAUUUGGAACUGUGUGGCUGGAGUGUCGGAGAGGCAGGCGGAAUUCCGAGUGUAGCAGUGAAAUGCGUAGAUAUGAGGAGGAACACCAGUGGCGAAGGCGGCCUGCUGGACGAUGACUGACGUUGAGGCUCGAAAGCGUGGGGAGCAAACAGGAUUAGAUACCCGAGUAGUC